rnacentral:rRNA from 3 species
UGGGGAAUAUUGCACAAUGGGCGAAAGCCUGAUGCAGCAACGCCGCGUGAGCGAUGAAGGCCUUCGGGUCGUAAAGCUCUGUCCUCAAGGAAGAUAAUGACGGUACUUGAGGAGGAAGCCCCGGCUAACUACGUGCCAGCAGCCGCGGUAAUACGUAGGGGGCUAGCGUUAUCCGGAAUUACUGGGCGUAAAGGGUGCGUAGGUGGUUUCUUAAGUCAGAGGUGAAAGGCUACGGCUCAACCGUAGUAAGCCUUUGAAACUGAGAAACUUGAGUGCAGGAGAGGAGAGUAGAAUUCCUAGUGUAGCGGUGAAAUGCGUAGAUAUUAGGAGGAAUACCAGUUGCGAAGGCGGCUCUCUGGACUGUAACUGACACUGAGGCACGAAAGCGUGGGGAGCAAACA